UCAUUUACCAUCACAGAUGCAUUAUUCAUGGAUAGAACACUUACCAGUUCCCUAAAGAUUUCCUGAACCAACCUGGGUGAAUGUGACUCUCCUCCUUUGGUUCCUUUGGCAUCCCUAUAUCUUAGCUUUCUUUCCUAAACAUCUCUUGUGAGGGGGAGAUCUGUCUCCUGUGACAUCUCUACAAUACAAGCACACACUAAGCAUUCUCUGAUACAUUUUGUGAGCACUUCUCUGCAGCUAGAACAAAAGGAGAAGUCUUAAUAUGCUUCCCCACAGGGAAAGAUCAGGAACUGAAUCAGGGUGGGGGUGGGGUACAGAGCCAUACUGAUAUGAGAGCAGCAUAGUUUUGGACGGACUUGUCACUACAUCUACCUGUCAGGUAAAUGAUUCAGGAAACUGGCACCCUUGGCCAGACUCUAUUUCUCUCUUUUUCCUCUCUUAGUUUGAUGGCUCUUGGAUCUAUUUGUCACUAUAAGCCUGAAAUGAUCUCCCUGAGGGAAUCACAGGCAGUACGAGAUGCCAUACUUUUCAGCUCUCUGGCUCACUGUUCUCUUUAGAGUAAUGGCUUUUCUUUUUUUUUUUUUUUAAGGUCAGUGGAUCUUUCACAGCGCCUUCUCCCAAAGUUCCACAAAAAAGCCCUGUAGGGACCAUCAAUUAAGGAGAUUCUGUUGACUCUGAGUACAGUAUAGCAAGAUGACUAGACCAGCGUUAGGGAGACCUGAACUUCUCCUAUCAAUCAGCAAAUGCUCUGCCCUGACCCUGGAAGACAUUGUACUCAGGUAGCCAUAGCUAUUGUCAGGCUUCUCUUAAGAUUUAUGUGAGGAGGAGCAGCAAGAUGGUGGAGUGCUAAGCAACCAAGAAAGAACCUCUCCAAGUGUUGCCAUCCAGAUGCUGGAAUAUAGCAAUGCAGGGAAGAUAAGAAGGAGGAAGGCAAGUCCUCCCAGACUCAGGAAGGAGCUGAGGCACAAAUUGAAGCCCACAGAGAGGGUGAAGAGAGAAACUUCAAUGAAGAAGGAGGUAGCUGGCAGCACCCUCUUCCAGAGAUGGGAAACACUGUGUGAGAGAAGCAGUCCAAACCUGCCAACACAUGGGGAGUGCUGGCGACCCCAGAGGCCUCUAUGGAGAGAAGCAGCAGCAGAGGGGAGCAGCAGACGUGAAGGACUGCACUAUCUGUGGGUGAGUGCCAAGUGUGCAGGCAUCACACAUGAGAGAGCAAUUGGCAGGGAACUAUUUUGGAGAGAGAGCCAUAGAGCUCAGAACUCAGAGUGGCUGCUGACUCCAUCCAGGGGGCCCCAGCUGGGCUUAGGUCUGCAGAAGGUGUGCUGAUGGCUGCAAGCACCAAAGGAUACAGGCUUGUUGGCUUUUUGGGAUAAAUCAACAUGGAUCAGGGACGCUGUCUUUAUCUGUUGUUUACCAGUGACAGCAGAAACAAACCUGGAAGUGGACUUUUUUGUUGUUGUUUGUUUUGUGCUCCCCUUUUGUU